AACGAACGCUGGUGGCGUGCUUAACACAUGCAAGUCGAACGAGAAAAUUUCCUUCGGGAAAUUAGUAAAGUGGCGCAAGGGUGAGUAUCACGUGAAUAAUCUGCCCUCGAGAUCGGGAUAACAUGGUGAAAACUAUGCUAAUACCGUAUAAGGCCACAUUUCAUAAGAAAUGCGGUAAAAGGAGUCUCAACCUUCACUCGAGGAUGAGUUCGCGCAACAUUAGCUUGUUGGUGAGAUAAAAGCUCACCAAGGCUACGAUGUUUAGCCGGCCUGAGAGGGUGAACGGCCACACUGGGACUGAGACACGGUCCAGACUCCUACGGGAGGCAGCAGUGGGGAAUCUUGGACAAUGGGGGAAACCCUGAUCCAGCAAUUCCGCGUGAUGAUG
rnacentral:rRNA from 1 species